rnacentral:misc_RNA from 1 species
UUGGUUAAAUCAGCUUUCAGGGGAAAUCCCACAGGAGUUGAUGUACUUGCAGGCUUUGGAGAAUUUGAUUCUUGAUUUUAAUGACUUAACUGGACCAAUACCUGCAAGUCUUAGCAACUGUACCAAGUUGAAUUGGAUUUCAUUGUCAAAUAACCAAUUGAGUGGUGAGAUACCGGCUUCUCUUGGGCGUUUGUCAAAUCUAGCUAUUCUUAAGCUUGGAAACAACUCAAUCUCAGGGAAUAUACCUGCUGAAUUGGGUAAUUGCCAGAGCUUGAUAUGGUUGGAUCUCAAUACUAAUUUCCUGAAUGGAUCCAUUCCGCCACCUUUGUUCAAGCAAUCUGGCAAUAUUGCAGUGGCAUUACUGACCGGGAAGCGAUACGUGUAUAUCAAGAAUGAUGGGAGUAAGGAGUGCCAUGGAGCAGGGAAUCUGCUGGAGUUUGGAGGGAUUAGACAGGAACAGCUGGAUAGAAUCUCAACAAGGCAUCCUUGCAAUUUCACAAGAGUUUAUAGAGGUAUCACUCAGCCAACAUUUAACCACAAUGGCUCUAUGAUAUUUCUUGAUUUAUCUUAUAAUAAGUUGGAAGGUAGUAUCCCAAAGGAAUUAGGGGCAAUGUACUAUCUGUCUAUAUUGAAUUUGGGGCAUAAUGAUCUGUCUGGUAUGAUUCCUCAACAACUUGGAGGCUUGAAGAAUGUUGCAAUUCUUGAUUUGUCAUAUAAUAGGUUCAAUGGCACGAUCCCGAAUUCCCUCACCAGUCUUACAUUGCUUGGAGAGAUUGACCUGUCAAACAAUAAUCUCAGUGGAAUGAUUCCUGAAUCUGCACCAUUUGACACAUUCCCUGAUUAUAGGUUUGCGAAUAAUUCCCUCUGUGGGUAUCCUCUCCCCAUACCUUGUAGCUCGGGGCCGAAAUCGGAUGCAAAUCAGCAUCAGAAGUCUCACCGCAGACAAGCAUCGUUGGCAGGGAGUGUGGCCAUGGGUUUGUUAUUUUCCCUCUUUUGUAUCUUUGGUUUGAUUAUUGUUGCCAUAGAGACGAAGAAGAGGAGGAGGAAGA